ACUCGCACAAGCGGUGGAGCAUGUGGUUUAAUUCGAAGCAACGCGAAGAACCUUACCAGGUCUUGACAUCCUUUUGAAUGGUCUAGAGAUAGAUCAGGCCUUCGGGACAGAAGAGACAGGUGGUGCAUGGUUGUCGUCAGCUCGUGUCGUGAGAUGUUGGGUUAAGUCCCGCAACGAGCGCAACCCUUUAUCAUUAGUUGCUAACAUUCAGUUGGGCACUCUAAUGAGACUGCCGGUGACAAGCGGAGGAAGGUGGGGAUGACGUCAAGUCCUCAUGGCCCUUAUAGGUGGGGCUACACACGUCAUACAAUGGCUGGUACAAAGGGUUGCCAACCCGCGAGGGGGAGCCAAUCCCAUAAAGCCAGUCGUAGUCCGGAUCGUAGUCUGCAACUCGACUACGUGAAGUCGGAAUCGCUAGUAAUCGUGGAUCAGAAUGUCACGGUGAAUACGUUCCCGGGUCUU
rnacentral:rRNA from 1 species